rnacentral:rRNA from 1 species
UACGGAGGGUGCAAGCGUUAGUCGGAAUUACUGGGCGUAAAGGGUGCGUAGGCGGAAAUAUAAGUCAGAUGUGAAAAACCAAAGCUCAACUUUGGCAGUGCAUCUGAAACUGUAUUUCUAGAGGAAGAGCGGAGAAAACGGAAUUCCACGUGUAGCGGUGAAAUGCGUAGAUAUGUGGAAGAACAACUGUGGCGAAAGCGGUUUUCUAGCUUACUACUGACGCUGAGGCACGAAAGCAAGGGGAGCAAACAGG